CUACGGGCCGCUGCAGUGAGGAAUAUUGCACAAUGGGGGGAACCCUGAUGCAGCAACGCCGCGUGGGGGAUGACGCAUUUCGGUGUGUAAACUCCUUUUAUAUGUCAAGAAAAUGACGGUAGCAUAUGAAUAAGCACCGGCUAACUCCGUGCCAGCAGCCGCGGUAAUACGGAGGGUGCAAGCGUUACGCGGAAUCACUGGGCGUAAAGGACGCGUAGGCGGGUUGGAAAGUCAGGUGUGAAAUCCUACAGCUUAACUGUAGAACUGCACUUGAAACUUCUAAUCUAGAGUAUGGGAGGGGGAGAUGGAAUUAGUGGUGUAGGGGUAAAAUCCGUAGAUAUCACUAGGAAUACCUAAAGCGAAGGCGAUCUCCUGGAACAUUACUGACGCUAAGGCGUGAAAGCGUGGGGAGCAAACAGGAUUAGAUACCCGCGUAGUC
rnacentral:rRNA from 1 species